AUUGAACGCUGGCGGCGUGCCUAACACAUGCAAGUCGAACGCGAAAGUUCCUUCGGGGGCGAGUAGAGUGGCGCACGGGUGAGUAACACGUGGAUAAUCUGCCUUCAAGUUUGGGAUAACAGUUGGAAACGGCUGCUAAUACCGAAUACGCUGACAUUAUAUAGAUGUUGGGAAAGAUGGCCUCUGUAUAUGCUAUUGCUUGGAGAUGAGUCCGCGUCCCAUUAGCUAGUUGGUAGGGUAAGAGCCUACCAAGGCGACGAUGGGUAGCUGGUCUGAGAGGAUGAUCAGUCACACUGGAACUGAAACACGGUCCAGACUCCUACGGGAGGCAGCAGUGGGGAAUAUUGCGCAAUGGGCGAAAGCCUGACGCAGCGACGCCGCGUGAGGGAUGAAGGUUUUCGAAUCGUAAACCUCUGUCAGAAGGGAAGAAGUGUACUUGUGCUAAUCAGCAAGUAUUUGACGGUACCUUCAAAGGAAGCACCGGCUAACUCCGUGCCAGCAGCCGCGGUAAUACGGAGGGUGCGAGCGUUAAUCGGAAUUACUGGGCGUAAAGCGCACGUAGGCUGUAUUGUAAGUCAGGGGUGAAAUGCCAAGGCUCAACCAUGGAACUGCCUUUGAUACUGCAAGACUAGAAUUCGGGAGAGGAUAGUGGAAUUUCGGGUGUAGGAGUGAAAUCCGUAGAUAUCCGAAGGAACAUCAGUGGCGAAGGCGACUAUCUGGACCGAUAUUGACGCUGAAGUGCGAAAGCGUGGGGAGCAAACAGGAUUAGAUACCCUGGUAGUCCACGCUGGUAAACGAUGGAUGCUAGGCGUUUGGGGAGUAAAUCUUCGGCGCCGUAGUUAACGCCGUUAAGCCAUCCCCCCUGGGGAGUACGGUCCCCAAGGCUAAAACUCAAAGAAUAUUGACCGGGGCCCCCACAAACCGGUGGAAUAUGUGGUUUAAUUUCAAUGCACCCCGAGGAACUUACCUAGGUUUUAACUUCACAAAACCUUUAAAAAAUAAAGGUGUGCCUUUCGGGAAA
rnacentral:rRNA from 1 species